GGAUAUUGAAUCAAGUUCUACGUGUACAGGGCUUCCAAGCAUUGCUAAUGGAUGUGGGGUCUAAUUUAUUAAUGGGUCUCGGUGUGGUGUUUCUGCUAUAUUGUAGAUAGUUAUGGCCUCCGUUAUCUUCCCUUUCUUCGGGUCUUCCUGUCUCAUUAGGAGUUUCGCAUCUUUCUAUUUUACUGUAACAUCGCUAAAGAGGGCUCGUUGGGCUAGUGCUGUUGUGUUCGCAGACUUAUUUAUAUCUUUUUUAUGUUAUCUAUUUCCUGCCAAAGUGCUGAGUUUUUUGAGUAGAAGGAUCAUUAUUUUAGAUUCACUGAAAAUCACGUAUAAUUUUUUGAAAAUAGUCA
rnacentral:lncRNA from 1 species